rnacentral:ncRNA from 2 species
CGCACACCGCACGGGAGCGUCCAACGGAGGGCGCUGAGAGGACGGCUAGAGCCGUCGACCGUCUGAACCUGACCGGGUAAUGCCGGCGUAGGGAGAUGAAGAUGACCGAUC